ACUGCUGACAUUUUAAGCUGAAUUACACUUUGAGAAUGGAGAUCCGUCCUCUCAAUAUAAUGCUGAAAUGUUACGUAACUCUGGAGGAGCAUAACUGCUACUCAGGUAACGGAAACUACAUCAGAAAGGGGUGACCGCGAGAGCAAGGGCCACUGCCUCAGGCGCUUUGGUGACGAAGAGAGCAUUUGUUCACUCCUGAAUCCAUCCCAAACAGGACCGAGUGCUCUCCUGCUGCUGAAGAGUUUAAAGGCCGCAAGCAGCACUGUUACAGAGAACCCAGUAAACAAGAACUCUCAAAACACAGUGAGCUAAAGGGGGUCGAGAAUUCAGUGUGUUAGAGUUUACUGUAUUUCAUUGUCACGAGUUAACAGAAAAAAAAUGACUAUAGAUGUAAUAUCAGAACUUCAGAGCGAAGAACACAAAUCCUGCAAUCAAAGUGAUUUCCUAGGUGGGACUGAAACAAGGUAACAAAUGAUAAUGCAGAAUCGGGUCAAGAACUCAGAGCAGGUCAAGCAUGACACAAACCAGAAUUAAUGAUCAGACUGUAAUGCGCAUGACAGAGAAUCAAGACUUUAUAGCUAAAGCAGACACGUGCAUUUCAAUCUCCAAAAUUUUUGUGAAACACAAGCGAAAACACUAUUGAGAUUAACAUUCUGGUGAAAGGGAACAUUGAUGAUUAUUUCUGUGGGAGACCAAAGCAAAAUAGUGUUUCACGGAACAACAUAAACUAGCCAUGUAGCUAGUAUGCAAAUGUUGAGCAAGCCAGAAAUCUAAGCGAUGAUAGUCUUCUUUUCCCUGCGCUAUGUAAUCAGUUAUACCGCAGAAAAAAACUACAUCAGGUUUCAAUUCAAUGGUUUGCAAUUACAAAAUAUUGCAUGUGUAUUUUUAAUUAUUUUAUUUGAGUCCUGACCUGAGGAAAUUGUAAUUUUUCUGUAACAUCUCUUGUAUUUUGAAGGGAAAAAAAUCUAAUCAAAUACAGUCGCACUUUACACGUUG